UACGUAGGGGGCUAGCGUUGUCCGGAUUUAUUGGGCGUAAAGAGCGUGUAGGCGGCCAGGUAGGUCCGUUGUGAAAACUCGAGGCUCAACCUCGAGACGUCGAUGGAAACCAUCUGGCUAGAGUCCGGAAGAGGAGAGUGGAAUUCCUGGUGUAGCGGUGAAAUGCGCAGAUAUCAGGAAGAACACCCGUGGCGAAGGCGGCUCUCUGGGACGGUACUGACGCUGAGACGCGAAAGCGUGGGGAGCGAACAGG
rnacentral:rRNA from 1 species